CCUACGGGAGGCAGCAGUGGGGAAUAUUGGACAAUGGGGGGAACCCUGAUCCAGCGACGCCGCGUGAGUGAAGAAGUAUUUCGGUAUGUAAAGCUCUAUUAGCAGGGAAGAAAAUGACGGUACCUGACGAAGAAGCUCCGGCUAACUACGUGCCAGCAGCCGCGGUAAUACGGAGGGGGCAAGCGUUAUCCGGAUUUACUGGGCGUAAAGGGAGCGUAGGCGGUGUAGCAAGUCAGAUGUGAAAGGUUGGGGCCCAACCCCAGGACUGCAUUGGAAACUGUUGAACUGGAGUACAGGAGAGGUAAGCGGAAUUCGUGGUGUAGCGGUGAAAUGCGUAGAUAUGAGGAGGAACAC
rnacentral:rRNA from 1 species